rnacentral:rRNA from 1 species
ACGAACGCUGGCGGCGUGCUUAACACAUGCAAGUCGAACGGAAAGGCCCUGCUUUUGUGGGGUGCUCGAGUGGCGAACGGGUGAGUAACACGUGAGUAACCUGCCCUUGACUUUGGGAUAACUUCAGGAAACUGGGGCUAAUACCGGAUAGUAGCUCCUGCUGCAUGGUGGGGGUUGGAAAGUUUCGGCGGUUGGGGAUGGACUCGCGGCUUAUCAGCUUGUUGGUGGGGUAGUGGCUUACCAAGGCUUUGACGGGUAGCCGGCCUGAGAGGGUGACCGGCCACAGUGGGACUGAGAUACGGCCCAGACUCCUACGGGAGGCAGCAGUGGGGAAUAUUGCACAAUGGGCGGAAGCCGGAUGCAGCAACGCCGCGUGCGGGAUGACGGCCUUCGGGUUGUAAACCGCUUUCGCCUGUGACGAAGCGUGAGUGACGGUAAUGGGUAAAGAAGCACCGGCUAACUACGUG